GACGAACGCUGGCGGCGUGCUUAACACAUGCAAGUCGAACGGUGAAAGCAGAGCUUGCUCCGCUGGAUCAGUGGCGAACGGGAGAGUAACACGUGGGCAACCUGCCCCUCACUUCGGGAUAACUCCGGGAAACCGGGGCUAAUACCGGAUAUGACCUCCUUGGGCAUCCUUGGAGGUGGGACGUUUUUCGGUGAGGGAUGGGCCCGCGGCCUAUCAGCUUGUUGGUGAGGUAGUGGCUCACCAAGGCGACGACGGGUAGCCGGCCUGAGAGGGCGACCGGCCACACUGGGACUGAGACACGGCCCAGACUCCUACGGGAGGCAGCAGUGGGGAAUAUUGCGCAAUGGGCGAAAGCCUGACGCAGCAACGCCGCGUGCGGGAUGACGGCCUUCGGGUUGUAAACCGCUUUCAGCAGGGAAGAAGCCGCAAGGUGACGGUACCUGCAGAAGAAGCACCGGCUAACUACGUGCCAGCCGCCGCCGUAA
rnacentral:rRNA from 1 species